UUAAGGACCUUGUUAGGCCUAAAAACACCGUGAGGUGGUGGCAGCUGUUCUAAAGGCCCCCGGAAGAUGUGUCCUUAUUCCUUGACCACGUGUGAAGCAGAGAGAGGUGUCCUUCUACAAGUUGUAGGAAGAGGAGGGGGAGAUUACUGCCAUAUAAGGAAGUUCUAUUUGAUGACCCGAGACAAAGAUGCUCCACGGAUGCCUUGCUGCCUUUGAAGGUUUGCUUAUUUAUUUUGAGGGAGAGCAGGAGUUGCGGGGGA